rnacentral:rRNA from 1 species
GACGAACGCUGGCGGCGUGCCUAAUACAUGCAAGUAGAACGCUGAAGGAGGAGCUUGCUUCUCUGGAUGAGUUGCGAACGGGUGAGUAACGCGUAGGUAACCUGCCUGGUAGCGGGGGAUAACUAUUGGAAACGAUAGCUAAUACCGCAUAAUAGCAGUUGUUGCAUGACAACUGUUUGAAAGGUGCAAUUGCACCACUACCAGAUGGGCCUGCGUUGUAUUAGCUAGUUGGUGGGGUAACGGCUCACCAAGGCGACGAUACAUAGCCGACCUGAGAGGGUGAUCGGCCACACUGGGACUGAGACACGGCCCAGACUCCUACGGGAGGCAGCAGUAGGGAAUCUUCGGCAAUGGACGGAAGUCUGACCGAGCAACGCCGCGUGAGUGAAGAAGGUUUUCGGAUCGUAAAGCUCUGUUGUAAGAGAAGAACGAGUGUGAGAGUGGAAAGUUCACACUGUGACGGUAGCUUACCAGAAAGGGACGGCUAACUACGUG